rnacentral:rRNA from 1 species
GACGAACGCUGGCGGCGUGCUUAACACAUGCAAGUCGAGCGGUAAGGCCCUUUCGGGGGUACACGAGCGGCGAACGGGUGAGUAACACGUGGGUGACCUGCCCUCAGCUCUGGGAUAAGCCUGGGAAACCGGUCUAAUACCGGAUAUGACUCCAUGACGCAUGUUGUGGGGGUGGAAAGCCUUGUGCGGCUGAGGAUGGGCCCGCGGCCUAUCAGCUUGUUGGUGGGGUGAUGGCCUACCAAGGCGACGACGGGUAGCCGGCCUGAGAGGGCGACCGGCCACACUGGGACUGAGACACGGCCCAGACUCCUACGGGAGGCAGCAGUGGGGAAUCUUGCGCAAUGGGCGAAAGCCUGACGCAGC